GUAGGGAAUAUUGGGCAAUGGAAGCAAUUCUGACCCAGCCAUGCCGCGUGAAGGAAUACAGCCCUAUGGGUUUUAAACUUCUUUUAUUAUAGAGUAAACGGAGGUACGUGUACCUCCCUGCAAGUAUAUGAUGAAUAAGGAUCGGCUAACUCCGUGCCAGCAGCCGCGGUAAUACGGAGGAUCCAAGCGUUAUCCGGAUUUAUUGGGUUUAAAGGGUGCGCAGGCGGAUCAAUAAGUCAGGGGUGAAAAAUUUCAGCUUAACUGGAAUCGUGCCUUUGAUACUGUUGGACUAGAGUAUAAUUGACGUGACUGGAAUGUGAUGUGUAGCGGUGAAAUGCUUAGAUAUGUCACAGAACGCCAAUCGUGAAGACAGGUCACGAAAUUAUUACUGACGCUCAUGCACGAAAGCGUGGGGAUCAAACAGGAUUAGAAACCCCAGUAGUCC
rnacentral:rRNA from 1 species